rnacentral:rRNA from 1 species
GACGAACGCUGGCGGCGUGCCUAAUACAUGCAAGUUGAGCGCUGAAGGUUGGUACUUGUACCAACUGGAUGAGCAGCGAACGGGUGAGUAACGCGUGGGGAAUCUGCCUUUGAGCGGGGGACAACAUUUGGAAACGAAUGCUAAUACCGCAUAAAAACUUUAAACACAAGUUUUAAGUUUGAAAGAUGCAAUUGCAUCACUCAAAGAUGAUCCCGCGUUGUAUUAGCUAGUUGGUGAGGUAAAGGCUCACCAAGGCGAUGAUACAUAGCCGACCUGAGAGGGUGAUCGGCAAAAUUGGGAAUGGGAAAAGGCCAAAACUACUACGGGAGGCAGCAGUAGGGAAACUUCGGAAAUGGACGAAAGUCUGAACGAGCAACGACGCGUGAGUGAAGAAGGUAUUCGGAUCGUAAAACUCUGUUGGUAGAGAAGAACGUUGGUGAGAGUGGAAAGCUCAUCAAGUGACGGUAACUACCCAGAAAGGGACGGCUAACUACGUG